GACAGAGGGUGCAAACGUUGUUCGGAAUUACUGGGCGUAAAGCGAGUGUAGGCGGUUUGGGAAGUCAGGUGUGAAAGCCCUGGGCUCAACCCAGGAAGUGCACUUGAAACUGCCAAGCUAGAGUAUCGGAGAGGUUGGUGGAAUUCUCGGUGUAGAGGUGAAAUUCGUAGAUAUCGAGAGGAACACCGGUGGCGAAGGCGGCCAACUGGACGAAUACUGACGCUGAGACUCGAAAGCGUGGGGAGCAAACAGG
rnacentral:rRNA from 1 species